GAGACUGACUGAGCAGCAGAUGGCUCUCUUCAGCUCACUGGUGCUCAUUAACCCAGAUCGCCCCUGUAUUGAGGAUAGAGGCAGAGUACAUAGAAUGAGGAGAGACUUGGAGGUAUGCCUCAACCACAUGCUACGCAGAGACAACCAAGAGAGCCUUCAGCACAAGCUCUACCAGAAGGUGUCAGUGUUGCAGUCUCUGUGCAGUCUUCAUGUGGAGAAGCUGCACUGGUUCAGCCAGCGCUA